rnacentral:rRNA from 1 species
AGGACGAACGCUAGCGGCGUGCCUAAGGUAUGCAAGUCGAACGGCCCGCAAGGGUAGUGGCGAACGGUCGAGUAACACGUAGACAACCUGCCCGCAAGUGGGGGAUAACAGCUCGAAAGGGCUGCUAAUACCGCAUGUGGCCCGGGGGCGCUGGCCCCUGGUGCUAAAGAUUUAUUGCUUGCGGAUGGGUCUGCGGCCUAUCAGGUAGUUGGUGAGGUAACGGCCCACCAAGCCGACGACGGGUAGCGGGUCUGAGAGGAUGAUCCGCCGGACGGGGACUGAGACACGGCCCCGACUCCUUCGGGAGGCAGCAAUGAGGAAUAUUGCACAAUGGGCGAAGGCCUGAUGCAGCGACGCCGCGUGGGUGAGGAAGUUCUUCGGAAUGUAAGGCCCUUUUAUCGGGGACGAUUCAAGACGGUACCCGAUGAAUAACGCCCCGGCUAACUACGUGCCAGCAGCCGC